GUGUCAGCAGCCGCGGUAAUACAUGUGGGGCAAGCGUUGUUCGGAAUUACUGGGCAUAAAGGGUGCGUAGGUGGUUUGUUAAGUCAGGGGUGAAAGUUUUCGGCCCAACCGGAAAAUGGCCUUUGAUACUGGCGAACUUGAGUGCGUGAGGGGUAACCGGAACGAGCAGUGUAGCGGUGAAAUGCGUAGAUAUUGCUCGGAAGGCCAACGGCGAAGGCAGGUUACUGGUGCGCAACUGACACUGAGGCACGAAAGCGUGGGGAGCAAACAGGAUUAGAUACCCCAGUAGUCC
rnacentral:rRNA from 1 species